UUGUGGCUUUUGCUGAUGUUCUUUUUUCGUGAUAUAUGGGUGCACUUUAUUACUCUUAUUUUUUCCCUCAUAAAAUUUGGGCUUCCUGCGUAUUUCCAGCGCCUACUCAGCAUAGUUAAUUUUGGCAAUUGGGAUCAAGGAGCAAGGCUUUUUGCAUCUCUACUGUUUUGCUUUUCUGUUAUUGUCAAUGGAAAUCCAAAUUUUUUCUUUGACAGCCGUAGAGGAAUAUGUCAAGGUGGCCCUCUUUCCCUAUUGUUUUUCGUACUAGUUGUGGAGACUUUUAGUAGGUUGAUGACUAAGGAGAAGGCAAGAGGUUUUAUAGAUGGUUUUUCUAUGUCUUUAGGAAAUACUAAGGCUUUGAUGAAAUGACACUUGCCUUUUGCCAAUGAUAUUUUGAUUUUUUUUUCUGUGUGAUGCAGAUGUCAAUUAGAUUCACCAUUUGAACUGUAUUAUGUUAUGGUUUGAGGCAAUAUAUGGUAUGAGGAUAAAUUUUACCAAAAAAGAGAUGGUGCCUGUAGGGAUGGUCACAGAGGCAGAGGUCUUGGCUAACACUCUGGGCUUUUUAAGUUCUCUUCUCUUUAAAUGAAAUAUUUGGGACUCCCUCUUGGGGCUCAUUUUAAAGCUAGCAAUAUAUGGGAUGGCAUAAUAGAGAAGAUGGAAAAGAGAUUGGCAGGUGGAAGAAACUUUAUCUAUCAAAGGGAGGAUGCCUUACACUAAUUAAGAGUACGCUCUUCAUUCUCCCUACUUUUUGGUUGUAUUUGUUUCCAUACCUGUUAGUGUGGAUAAUAAAUUGAAAACAAUACAAAGGGAUUUCUUAUGGGGUUUUAUUGGGGAUGAGCAUCAGUUCCAUAUGGUGAAGGUCUACAAUGUGUAGCCUGAUCCAAAGUGGGCAUUUGGGUAUUAGAGAAUGAAGAACCUCAUUUUUAACUAAGCCUUUCAUAGUAAAUGAUUGUGGCAUUAUGUGGUAGAAAGGGACUCAUUGUGGAGGAAAGUGAUUGAUCACAAAUAUGAUACUGGUAGGGGUGAUUGGUGUUCUGGCAUUGUCAAAGCUCCUUAUGGGUUGGUUUGUGGAAAUAUAUUAAGUAAAUGGUUGGAAUAAAUUUGCCUCUUAGAUGCUGUGGGAGAUGGCUCUAAAAUUUUGUGUUGGAAGGAUCAUUGGACUAGCAAUUGAAUUUUCAGAAACAAAUAUCCUGAGGUUAUAUGGAGUCAGUUAAUGGUCGGUUGCAUUGAAAAGUUGCUUUUCAUUAGAGAAACUCAAGAUUGGGAUAUAGUAUUGCUGGAACACUUUUUUGAUGACCUUUUGUGCAAUGGAGGUUGUCUAAACGGGAAGUGAUGGAUUGGUGUGGUUCUCAUCAGCAAAGAAAGGUUUUCAGGUAAGAAGUUUCUUUUACGAGUGGUUAGUUUAGGGAAUGCACGGUCUGUCCCCUUUCCUUGGCAGUAUAUUUGGAGAGGUAGAGCCUACCUAAGAGUGACUUUCUUCAUGUGGACUGUAGCAGUAAGAAAAUUUUUGACAACGGAUAAUUUAUAAUAGAAGGAAAUUAUGAUUGCAGGCUGAUGUUGUAUAGUAAGUCCAAUGGAGUCUGUGGACCAUCUUCUUCUACAUUGCCCUAUUGCUAUGGACCUGCGGUAUGAUGGUAUCUAUUACUAUGCCUAUUUCGUGUUAUGUGUGUAAUGCCCAGUUUAGUACUUGCUAUGUUGGAGUCUUGGAAGGAGACAUUUGGCGAUCUAAGAAGUGGGGAAGCAUUGGGAACAGGUUCUUUAUGUUGCAUGUAGUGCAUUUGGAAAGAGAGGACUCUCCAUACUUUUGAGGGGGAGUUAUCCUUGCUUCACCCUAGGUUCAUGGACAAGGAGAAAUAUGAAAGGGAACCCUAAUGGAACAAAGUUAACUUCACUGAAAUUUUCCUGAAGCAGAAGAAUAAAAGAUGCCUUCUUUAGCAGUCCGAACUCCAAAAUAAGUCAUAAGCAGACCAAUCUUGAGAUGCUGCCAUAGGUGCCUAGGUGCUGACCUUGGCAAGAAAUACUUUUGUGGAGUGGGGAUGAUGUGGAUUUUUUGGACUCCCUACUAGUUAAUAAUGCUGAUGCAAAACACUGGUGAAAUGAAUACCUGUAACUAUGCCGACAAUGUUAAUCUGUAUCUUUUUAUUUAUUUAUUUUUUGAUGAGUAAUGUUAAUAUAAUAAAUCAGGUAAAAUUGAUCAUCAUGAGUUGUGAAUAUAAUCCAUGGCACUGUCAUUCCUGCACUGUGUUAUUCAUUAUGACAUGGUAGUUCAGAUACUGAGGAAGCAUUAGCAAGAUGCCAGGGAAACUAAUUCUAUUGGGUGAGGGUUUUUUUAUUUUUAUAACACCAGUGGAAAACCCCAUAAUUAUAACUUUGUUUCCAUGAUGACUUUCCCAUCUGGGCCCGAGCAUUAUUCCUGAAUCAGCUAUGUUUCGAGGGAACUAGCCCAAUAAUUGGGCUUGUAGGUGAAAAGAGCUAGUAUAUGUUUUAUAAUUGUGAUUGAGGAUGAUAAUGUCAAAUACUACCUACCAAGCAUUAAUUUAAAUUAGUGGCUAGUAUGCAUUGGUAAACUAUUGGGAACAAUUCCUUGCUUUCCAUUCUUUGAUAGAUUUUAUUGUAUGAGCUAGCAAUAGAAAUUCUCGAUUUAGCUCUUUUUACCUUUUGGGAGCUUUACGGAAUCGUAGUUGAUUCCACAUGCAACUCAAACUUCUGAAAGAUAAUCUCGUUAUCAUUGUUUCGUUCCUAAAAUAGAUUGUCUUUUGCUGUAUAUUCUUUAUAGUUUACACAAAUGACUGAAAAACUGAGCUGCACUUUCAGGUGAUUUUUCUUUUGCCUAAUUUUAUGCAUGUGCUUGGUCAAGAGCUUUGUAACUCAACUAACUCCUCCUUGUAUUUUUAACAGACAUCCAGCCAUCUAGGGUUCAAAAUCACUCUCUUAUUGUAACUAUAGAAUUAUCAAAAUCAAAAUUGUACAUGUUUGUAUAUGGAAAGCUUGGCCUUAAUGACAUCUCUAAUGAAUCACCAUGUAUAGGAAAUUAGAUCUAUCUUAUUUCUUAGCCAAUACGAGGUUUUUGCUUGAAUAUAUCUAGAAAUUCUAGACUAGUAGGACGACCUACCCCUCAUUGAGGCUUCCAAUGUGACAGUUGUUGGGGGAGAAGCAAUAUGUGAAACAGAGACCAAUUAUUUUGUUUUAUAUAGAAGUGCACAAUCAGAAGACAAAAGUAAGAUAGAAUAUCCUUAAAGAUUGAGUAGGCACCCAUUCGAAAACCUAUAGAUUUGGACAUUGAUUUAACCCGAGCCCCAAGAGAAAAACCAAAAUUAAUCUGUAAAAUCAGUAAUAGGGCCGACAUAAUUUACUACGCAUAUUAUUAGCUACUUUAAUGUUAUUCAAUCAGGCCGUUUGAACAUGUGCAUGUUACUGAUUAAAAUAAACUAGCUUGAAGGGCUUGUCUGAGUUAUAAUGAUAACGACCAUUACCCACCACCAGUCUAAACAUGUCCAUUUUGUAUCAAUAUCACCACCUUCAGCAGAACUUUUGUUGCUAAGACCUUACUAUUACUUUUUAUUAUUAUUAUUGUUGUUGUUGUUUUUUUAUUUUUAUAUUCAGGAUAGAUUUCUGAUAGACAUGAUAAAAUUUCAAUUUAUCACGUCCACUUCAUGAUCUCUUAUCAUCUUGUUAAGAGGUUUUUGGUGUAGAAGAUGUUUGAAUUCCAAAUUUCUUAUUCGAGGACAAUAGAUUUUACCAAUUGAGAUAUGAUAGAUUUGAAUAUAUGAUAUAUGUUCUAUGAUAAUUAUUCUUUAUCAUUAGAUCAAGACACUAAUUAAUUUUUGGUGUAAUCAAAAUUUGAACUUAGAUAUCUUAUUCGAUGAUAAUGGAGUUUACCAGUACUGUGUUGGACAUCAAUUGACAUGUUUAUAUGUUGGUAUUGGUGCAUACUUAGCAUUAGCAUCUGAUGUGCUAAAAAAAAAAAUGCUAUUUUAGCCCAUCAAAAAACCCACUUUUGCUAUUUUAGUGCAUUAUUUAACAAUACACCUUUUAUCUCAUCUGUUAUUUUAGCAUACAAGCCAUUAAAAUAAUAUAAAAUAAUUUUAACAAAAACAAACCCACAGCAACAGUGAAAAAAAACCAUGACCACAACCACCACAAAAACCACUGCCACAACCCAUUAGAUAAACCCACAGCCAAGAACUACCCCCACAACCACCGCUGCAACCCAUAGCAAACCACUGCUAAUCUUAAUGCCCCCACCAAAGAAAACCCAUAACAAAACACCAUUGAUCUUAGCUGAUCUCAACACCACCGCAAAAAAAAAAAAAAAAAAAACGUUGGUAAUAUUUUGAGACAAAUUGAGAGAGAGAGAGAAGAAAAAAAAAGGGGCAGAUGCUACACUAAUCAGCUAUUGGAGUAGAGUGAAAUUUUUUAGCAAAUGGUACGCCGAAUGAAGCCACUUUUUGCUGUUUGGUAUGCUAAAAUAGCAUUUUGGGUGUUUUAGCGCACUCAAUGCUAAUGCUCUUAAAAGUUAAAAUGGCUUUCCCUUUUCGUCGGUAGGCUUUACAAUUGUUCACCCCGCACCACCCUAGUUUGCUACAUGCCAAAUCCCAUACUCCAGAAAUAGCGGAACAAAAUGGAUACCUCAGUUAUCAAUCUAAAUUAUUGUGGGUCGUCCAGGCUGGGAUUGAUGUGUUGGGCUUUUUAGGAAUUAGUGGUGGCCUUGUGACAUGCACUACAUGAAUUGAUAUGACAAUCCUUUUUCUUUAUUGUGGUUUCCUGUUUUCAUUACUGUAUAGUGUUUUUGUUUUCUACUUUAUAUAUUUUUCCUUCAAUAGCUGUGAGUGCCAUAACCCAUCGACAUUGCAAUCCUGCUGGUGAAAUAUAAUGCGUAAGCCUAUGACCUCACCAUCAACCUCAAAACAUGCCAUUGACAUCAAAUUAGCUAAAUGAUCUAGCUUUACAAUAAUCCUAACACAUACUUAAAUUGAAUUUUGUCCCUUUCAAAUCCAAAUCCAACAUCAUAUAUUUUAUAUUUGCACCCUAGUUAGUGGUAAUAAGUUAGCAAAAGUAACAAUGUAAAUGUGAUAAUGAAUUAGGUUGACAAAAUUGCAUGACCUUACCUAUUCUAUCCUAUUAUAAUUAAUUUGUUAUCCAUAUUUUUUAAGUAAUGAACGACAUUAACAUGAUGAGAAAUAGGGAAGCUGAUGAACCUGAUUGCUUUGAACUUGCUUUUAGAAGAAUAUUAGAUACACUGAUACACAUAAAUAAUAAGAAUUCCAAACAGAUAAACCUGCACAAAAAGUAGCCCCUUUAAAAAACCACAAUAUCCUUGAUUACACAUACGUUGCACCUAUAUUUCAAACUCCAUCAAAGAGUUCUUUAGCACGUUACAAAAUUUUGCACCCAAUGUUACGUCAACUUCCACAUUUUUGCCAAGCUAGGUCCAUUUUCCACCCAGUAUAAAUGCUAAGACGACUCACCCAGCUUGACCAUAGUCCAUAUACCACCAUAUGGA